GGUUUCUUGAUAAUAUAGGAGAUUUAACCUGCCCACUGAUAAAAUUAAAGGGCCGCGGUAUUUUGACUGUGCAAAGGUAGCAUAAUCAUUAGUCUUUUAAUUGAAGACUCGUAUGAAUGGUUGGACGAACUCAAAAYUGUCUUAUGAAGAAGAAAUUUUAGUAAAAAGGAUGUAAUGUUUUUGAGGGACGAGAAGACCGGUUGAAUUUAAUAAAUAAAUGAGAUGACCAGGUUGAUAAAAAGAUAAUAGUUAGUUUUUUAUAAUAUAAUAAKGGGGKKAUUAGAAGAUAAAUUAACUCUUUAUUUUUUAAAUUUAAUUGUAGAAAAGGAUCCAUUAAGAAUUAAUGAUUAAAGAUAAAUUACCUUAGGGAUAACAGCAUAAUUUUUUUUAGAGUUCUUAUCAAAAGAAAGAUUAUGACCUCGAUGUUGGAUUAAGAUAAAUUUGGGUGUASAUGUUCAAAUAUAAUUUAGGU
rnacentral:rRNA from 1 species